rnacentral:rRNA from 1 species
CAGCCGCCGCGGUAAUACGAAGGGGGCUAGCGUUGCUCGGAAUGACUGGGCGUAAAGGGCGCGUAGGCGGCGGCCAAAGUCAGGCGUGAAAUUCCCGGGCUCAACCUGGGGGCUGCGUUUGAUACUUGGUUGCUUGAGUGGGGAAGAGGGUCGUGGAAUUCCCAGUGUAGAGGUGAAAUUCGUAGAUAUUGGGAAGAACACCGGUGGCGAAGGCGGCGACCUGGUCCUUUACUGACGCUGAGGCGCGAAAGCGUGGGGAGCAAACAGGAUUAGAUACCCGGGUAGUCCCUGUCUCUUAUAC